GCACCCCCUCCACACACACACACACACACACACACACACACGCUGCAUGCACCCCCUCCACACACACACACGCUGCAUGCACCCCCUCCACACACACACACACACACACUGCAUGCACCCCCUCCACACAGACACACACACACACACACACUGCAUGCACCCCCUCCACACAGACACACACACACACACACACACACACACACGCUGCAUGCACCCCCUCCACACACACACACACUGCAUGCACCCCCUCCACACAGACACACACACACACACUGCAUGCACCCCCUCCACACAGACACACACACACACACACACGCUGCAUGCACCCCCUCCACACACACACACACACUGCAUGCACCCCCUCCACACAGACACACACACACACACACACACACACGCUGCAUGCACCCCCUCCACACAGACACACACACACACACGCUGCAUGCACCCCCUCCACACACACACACGCUGCAUGCACCCCCUCCACACACACAGAGUGUAUGCACCCCCCUCCACACACACACUGCAUGCACCCCCUCCACACACACACACACUGCAUGCACCCAACAAUGACUGUAGCACCUCCCCACAGCUUCUGCAUUUGCCCCCACAUGCAGAGAAGCUAUUUUUCUCACAUACACACACACACUGCAUGCACCCAACAAUGACUACAGCACCCCCCCAACAUGCAGAGAAGCUAUUUUGCUUUUACACACUUUAUACAUGCACCCAACAAUGAAUACAGCACCUCCCACACAAUAACGCAGCUUCUGCAUUAGCCCCCAAAUCCACACACGCACACUGCAUGCAUGCACCUAGCAAUGAACACACACACACUGCAUGCACGCACCCAAUUAAUACAGCACCUCCCCCCCACACAAACACCACUGCAUUGCCCCCAAAUCCAGAGCAGCUAUUUUUCUUCCACACAAAGCAGUCUUGUGUGUUUAGAUGUUUGUAUACGUGUGUGGAGAGGAAGGAAGGAAGGAUGGUGGGAGAGACACGGCAGUAGGCUCUUUUUAUGCGUGCUACAAUAUGACGAUAUGCUUAAAAAUGCAGUUCAGCCAACUGAGCUUUGCAUGACGUCUCUUUUUCUUCCUUCUGAGGACCUUUCGGUGCAGAUUUAAAAGCAACAACAACAAAGCAAAACCCAAAGCAGAAACACAAGAGACAAUAUUCCCUUUCCAAAAAAACAACCCCCCCCCCCAAAAUCAAAUGCAUGUACUAAGCAGCAUUCAAAUGCAGCACAGAGAAACUAAUGCAGCAAAUGGGGAUUUGGAGCAGUAAAUACUGUAUGUGACAAAACUUAGUGAUUUUGUUUUCUCAUGCCCUUACUUCUAAACCAGCUGCACAGCCAAGCUGAGGCUGCUUGGCCCUUAUAACUAUCUUGGCACCGAGUCAAAAGCUGAUAAGCAUUUGGGCGAGACAGCUCAACUGCUGUGCUGGAAGAAAAACAGCUGCCAUGAUUGCUGUUUGAUUGAGAGCGCUUACACACACACAAAAAAAAAACCACAUCGGACUGCAAAGACAGGCCACAAACGCCUGAGGAUUCAGAUUUAGAGGAUCCACAUACGUUUUCUUAAAAAAAAAGUUUUCUAAGGCUUUCCUUCCUUAUUGUUUUAUUAUUUUAGAAGAAAACGUGCUACGUAGACUUGCUUUUCUUCUUCCCAUCCCCCCUCCAUAACCUCAAGCAAACUCAAGGAAUCGUGCCAAAAGUCCCGUUGCUAGUUACCAAGUGCAUUUUUUUAAACGUCCGUUUGAUACUUCUUUCCCUCAAGCUCGCUGUGGAAUACGCAAGAGAAAGGAAUUUGCCCUAAGAUACUGUGGUUGUUGGCAAGCAGUGAACCGACCAAGACCAAAAUGAGAAAACAGAACAAUGUUAGAACAUACAAUAUGGCACUUACCUCUUCCAGAAUUUCUGUAUGACCUUGGUCAAGCAGCUUAAACACUUUGUGCUCCCUGUCCCGCACUAUAAAGAUUCCAGUCUUCAUGGUUAUAAAGAAAAUCCUGACUAUACCACCUGAUUGAAUCCAAAUGUAUCGAAAAGCAAAAAAGGCUACUAUAAAAUCUCCAAGGAAAUUUACUCAUGAAAAACAAAGUUUUGGUGUUUUGACACUCAUGAGCCAAAACAGCCAACCUCUAAAGAUGAAAGAUACUAAACUGAAGUGCUGGCUAUUUGGUAAUUCUGAAAAGUUUCCAAUAAACAAAGUAGCUUUUUUAAAAGCAUCAUGUGAAAGUGGUUAUUUUACUUUGCUACUGGAGCUUACCAUGUUUCUGAUGCAAUAUUCAUUUUUGCAAGCCUGCUCUCUUGGAAAGGGUAUAGUGGCUCAUCAGUCUGCACCAUUAAUUAAACAAUAAUUAAUCUGAUGAUUGAACCAACCAAGAAAAGCAAGAAAACUCAGUUAAACUUGAUGUUGUAUGUUCAGUAGACAUAGUAUGUUGGGGGGAUGGAAAAUAUAAAUGAAUAAAAAUGGUAGAGGAGUGGGAGAGGGGAAAUGGGUAUUUCAGCUUGCUCAUUGUUCCCAGUCAGCACUGAGAGCUCAGUUGAAAUGGUAUGUACACCCUGAGAACAAUUCGCAUCUGAACAAUGCAUGAUGAUCUCAAGGAUACUAUUCUUGACUAGGAAGAUAGGUCAGCCCAAAGUAAUACCUUUAGUGGUAAUGGAGGACAAAGGGAGAUCACAUUAUCCUGAAAGACCUCUGCUCUAUUAAAAAGGAAACAAAAAAUGUUAAAAGUUGUGGUUGAGCAUCAACUUUAACUUUGUAAUUUCCUUGCUUUUGUUGCUUUUUGUCACAACUAUAAUAUUAUUCAAACAUAGCUUUUUGUUUAUGAAUUUACCUUUAACACAGAACUGUUUGACAAGCACUGUUUAUGCAGUUUGUCAGAUGCCAUUACUUUCUUACACAUAACUAUGCAUGGUGACACUACAAAGCUCUCUUUCAAGCUUGUUUUAGUUCAGCAAGGUUAGGUUUUUACUGAAUUACUUUAAAAUAAAAUAAAUAAUGAAAAAGGGAGAAGGUAAUAAGAUCAGUGUUAAUUCAAUCACAUUUCUAAGGUUAUUUUGACCUUUAAACAAGUGGUCAAACACAUUUUGCCUGCUUAUUUUUAUACAGAUAUAUCUGUCAGGAACUCAUGGGCAAGCUUGUACUGGGACCCCUGAUAUCCCGUGUGUUGUAAAAUAAAUCUGUACUGGUCUACUCCCAAUCUAAAUAUACUUUUGAAUAAAGCUCUCACUUGCAGGUAUAAAUCUCACAAAUCAAAUUCUGCUCCAAGAACUGUAAUUUAGUGAAUUUAUAUUCUCAAAUUAACAGGUGAUGAAAAACAAUACAUUAAAGAUUUCUUGAACUCUACUAUAAUACACUUCUGUUGGAUCUAAUUUGUACUGAAUGAUUCAUGUCCUAGUGGUUUUUCUAGUUUUACUUUCAUAUUUCUCCCAUUACUACUUUAGAUAAAUUUUUAAAUCUAGAAUUUCCUACUUUACCAAGUCUAGUUACUAUGCUGCAUGAAGAAACCUCAUUAAGUGAAGAUUAGCGAGCAUUAUAAGGCUUUCACAGCAUACUUGGAGACAACAUAGUGACCAAAGAGCUAUGCUACCUAGGAAGGUAUUACUUAAGUUAGGUUUUAAAAUACAAAGCCACCUCUUAAGAAUAACCCUAUUUAUGACAAACCCUGCUUUCAACAGCAGGAUUUGAUUUCUUUCAUUAUUAUGAUGCAGAAAUUGACUAACCCUUUUUUGGUGAAUUUCUUAUUCAGUCCAAUGGGGUUCAUUAUAAUGAACUUGUACUGUGCUAAGAUUUAACACUGCAAAUAUGAGGGAUUUAUGCUCCCAAAAUGCCAACAUAAUAAAAGCUAAUUUCAAUGUAACUUUAUAUAAUGGAGUGCAUCCCUCUUUGUUCCCCAGUAUAAAGCAAUGUAGUAUUCUGCUGAACACAAUUCAGCCUUAUUCCACAUUACAGAUAAGAAAUUGUACGUUCUCUUUCUACGAAGUAGCCAACCGGCGGUCAGUCUGGUCAGCAACUUUUUUAAAAGUUUGCAAUACAAUUUAAAAAUUCCUUUUUUCUUUUUUGCAUGUUUUCAUUACCUCUACUUCCAGGAAUACAAAAGCUAACUUUUCACAAGCAGAUGCCUCAGUCUAGUUCAUUUACUUCAUAAGGUCCUUCUUGUCUAAUUAAACUAUUCCUUUUUUGUAAAGUAAAAGAAACAAUAAGAUUUUUUUUUGCUGUAUCUGUGAUUUUUUUCAUAAAAAGAUAUGGUUGUUUAUCACACUUUGAUCCUUUAUAGGGGAAAAAGGGAAACUUUAUUUCCCUUUUCCCCUAUAAAGGAUUAUAUUAUAAAGGACACGUGGAUUUUUUCUUGAGUUAUGCUACAGAAAUAGCAAAGCAUAUAACUAAAAUUGCCAUGGAACUAUUGGUUCCUGAUAUACUGAACAGCAAAGGAAAUAGUCGCAGGAACUAUGUAAACUGCUUUCCACCCCAACUUAACAGUCUGCUUUCUGCCAAUAUUUCAAGCAUACUUUGCUGACUAAGCAUAUUUUAUACAUUAUUGCAGGGUGCAAUUUUUUUUUUCAUCUGUUCUGCUCGUUAAGAGUACUUGAUUACAAAAAGAUGCAAAGUAAUACAUGGUAAAAAGGAAGAUCUACUAAAAUUUAAAUUCAGAAAUUUCUCAGGAAACAUCUUCCCCUCCUGUUCCUAGAAAAGUAUAUGAAAAUCUCAUGUAACUGUGUUUAUUUCUCUAUGGCUUUCAUUGGUAUUCCUAUAACUUUUUUAUGUUACAAACUUUAACGAGGUUCUUACUUGAACCUUCCCAAGCAUUAACUGCUUUUAGUUUACAGUGGAGUUUAGGAUGUUUGCUUUGUUCUGUAGAAUCCUAAAUGACUGGCACCUGCCUAUUUAAAAGAAAAAAAGAAUCACAUCUUUUCCCUCUGCAUUGCCACUGAAGUUGCAGCCAGUGAGGAUGUUCCAGGUCAAGUCCCCUUGGUACAGAGAUGGCUGAGGACUCUUUGGCUGUGGAACUUGCUCCAACACUUGGUCAGAAAGAUGGAACCUGCUGACACAGGGCUUGCUCCUCCGGAUUGCUGAGAUUAUGGAUAUGAUGGGGCAUGCAAAAUGGAUUUCUUAUCCUUGGACCAUGGGUGAAAUUCAGCCCCUACUCCAGUCUGUGUCAACACUUCCAUUACCUUCAAUGGGGUUAAGAUUUCACCUGACUAUAUGAAAAGGGCAAAGGCAGUAGCGAAUAAAUGACA